AUUGAACGCUGGCGGCAUGCCUUACACAUGCAAGUCGAACGGCAGCACGGGGCAACCUGGUGGCGAGUGGCGAACGGGUGAGUAAUACAUCGGAACGUACCCUGUUGUGGGGGAUAACUAGUCGAAAGAUUAGCUAAUACCGCAUACGACCUGAGGGUGAAAGUGGGGGACCGCAAGGCCUCACGCAGCAGGAGCGGCCGAUGUCUGAUUAGCUAGUUGGUGGGGUAAAGGCCCACCAAGGCGACGAUCAGUAGCUGGUCUGAGAGGACGAUCAGCCACACUGGGACUGAGACACGGCCCAGACUCCUACGGGAGGCAGCAGUGGGGAAUUUUGGACAAUGGGGGCAACCCUGAUCCAGCAAUGCCGCGUGUGUGAAGAAGGCCUUCGGGUUGUAAAGCACUUUUGUCCGGAAAGAAAUCGCGCUGGUUAAUACCUGGCGUGGAUGACGGUACCGGAAGAAUAAGCACCGGCUAACUACGUGCCAGCCGCCGCCGUAAAAC
rnacentral:rRNA from 1 species